rnacentral:rRNA from 1 species
GACGUAGGGCGCGAGCGUUGUCCGGAUUUAUUGGGCGUAAGCGCGUGUAGGCGGCUUUGCAAGUCGGGUGUGAAAGCCCUCAGCUCAACUGAGGAAGUGCGCCCGAAACUGCAGCGCUUGAGUACCGGAGAGGAUGGCGGAAUUCCCCAAGUAGAGGUGAAAUUCGUAGAUAUGGGGAGGAACACCGGUGGCGAAGGCGGCCAUCUGGACGGAUACGUGACGCUGAGACGCGAAAGCGUGGGAGCAACAGG